rnacentral:lncRNA from 1 species
GUUAAAAAAAGCAUCUAAGAUGAAUGACUUAGGCGCAACAUGGAGAAUUCUGGAAAUGGAAAUUCAUAGGGAAAGGCAUCAUAGCAGGCUAUUGUAACACCCUAAUAUUCAAAUCCUUAUACUCGAGUCAUAAGUCAAUGAUAUUACGGUGGUACGACUCUCAGGUGGAUUUUUAAUACAUAACGAUAAGUAUAAUUGAAAGGAGUAUUAAUCGAGAAGCCUGAAAAGAAUAAAAAUUAAAACCACGAAGUCGUAUCACUCACAUAUCGACAACUAAAAGAUAAAGCGUGAAGCCGAAAGCGGCAUACAGAUAAAGGUACGAUAUGAAUUCAUUAACAAUUGAAAACACAAAAACCAUAUAUGAGUUCAUAUGAAUAAAACAAAUAAGCCAGUCUGUCAGCAGCAAAACAUCAAAAAGUAAUUUAAACCAAACCAGCCAGCAACAAACAACAUUCUUUCUUCGAACAAUGAACAAAAAUACUGGCUCAAAAUACAGCACCAAGACAGUAACAAUGAGCAAAAAGAAUUGAUUCAUUCAGCCUUCCUUCAUUGAAUUCAGCAAUUAAGCAUAAGUAAGGAAUAUGGAUUCAAACAAUUAAGCAUCACUGAAUCAAACAAUGAUGACCAAGUUGAAACAAGAACUCAGCAUCACUCAGCAAGGAUAUAGCAGCAAUAACAAUUAUGCAGCAGCCUCAAAUAAAUCAAAUAAGCACAGGGGUAAAUCAUCAGCAAUAAACAAAGAGGAAUUCAAUGAAACGUCAACAUUUCCAAACAACGUUAUUGAUCAUAACAAACCUAAAUCCACUAUCCACGCCAGAUUCUCUAACCACCUAACAACUAACUAAACUAGUUGAACUACACAAGCUAAACAGAAUGUGCUAAACCAGAUUAAUCAAAUAGAAAUAAAAUGAAAAUGAGAAGAAAGGGAAACUUGGGAAGUAGAAUUGGAACAGAGGAAGGGAAAGGGAAGGAAGGGUGGAAGCGGCCGGCCAAAGUGGCGGCACCAGCGGUGAUACUCAGAGACUAAAGCGGCGAAGAAGAAGGGUAGCGCUGCAUUGCAGGGCUGAGAAACAGGGGAGACGGUCGUACGCGGACGGGUUCUGGGCUCGGCGAGGAGGGGGUGCGGCGAUCGGUGGAAGGAGGACCCUGUGGUCUCUGGACCUUAUGGCAACGGAAAGGGUACAGGGGAGCUGGGUGCGGUGGUGCUCCAUGGAGAAACAGGGGGGAAAGCUUGAGCGCGGAGGAGUUCUGGGCUUGGUGGAACAGGGGUGGUGUCGCAACAGCUGGAACUCACCUCAGACGAAGAGAACAGGAGCUUGAACUUGCUCUGUUCUACAACCCAGAAGGAACGAGAGAGAGACAAGGGCUGUGUCAGAAGGGGGUCGCGAAGAAGAGGACCCUGUGGUCUCUGGACCUGACGGCGACGGGAAGGAUAGAGGGAGAAGAAGGAGGCUGCCGAGAGAUGUUGGACGACGGCGAGGAGGACAGAGAGCACGCGGUGGGUUCUGGGCUCAGUAAUUAGGGUUGCUGGCGGCGCUGGGCGGUGAAUCGCGGAGGAAGGAGAAGAGGGUUGGGUCACCGUGGCUCGUCGAUGGUGGGGGCUACGGUGGCUAGGCCGGUCCGCGAAGGCUCGGUGGUUCUGGGCGGCGCUAGGUUACCACGAAGAGGAGAAGAGCGGGGUGGGCUCUGGACUUGCGGAGGUGAGGCCGAGAGAGGGAGAGAGGAAGAAGAGAAGGGAAAGGGCGCGGCGGUCGCUGGCGGUUGUGGUGUCGGAGGUUGUGGUGAUGGACGUUGAUGGGUGAUGGUGGUGGUGGAUGUUGGAACAGAGAAUGAGAGGAGAGGGAUGAACGUUGGGGAAUAGGAAAAGAAAAGGGAAGGAAGAGUACGGGAUGCGGACACACCCACUGUGCUGGUGCUCCCAGCAGAAGGGGGUGAACUGGGGGUGCGUACGCACACGGAUAGGAAAAUGGUAAAUGCAUGUGCGUACACACAGAGUGG